AUUCGUCUGUUCAGCGUAUUAUAACUGAAAAUGGCUAAAUGAAAAAGGUUUGCGCCAAGAUGGUGCCGAAACUGCUGACUCUUAAGCAAAAGUUGCGAUGA
rnacentral:lncRNA from 1 species